UGCAGUCGACGAAGAUGGCAGCCUCUGGUUGGCAUCUUAGUGGCGGACGGGUGAGUAACGCGUAAGAACUUGCCCCUGGGAGAGGGAUACCAACUGGAAACGGUUGUUAAUACCUCAUAGGCUGAGGAGUAAAAUGGUUAACACCGCCUAGGGAUAGGCUUGCGUCUGAUUAGCUAGUUGGUGGGGCAAAGGCCUACCAAGGCAAUGAUCAGUAGCUGGUCUGAGAGGACAAUCAGCCACACUGGGACUGAGACACGGCCCAGACUCCUACGGGAGGCAGCAGUGAGGAAUUUUCCGCAAUGGGCGAAAGCCUGACGGAGCAAUGCCGCGUGGAGGAUGAAGGCCCGUGGGUUGUAAACUCCUUUUCUUAGAGAAGAAGCCCUGACGGUAUCUAAGGAAUAAGCAUCGGCUAACUCCGUGCCAGCAGCCGCGGUAAUACGGGGGAUGCAAGCGUUAUCCGGAAUCAUUGGGCGUAAAGGGUCCUGAGGUGGUUUGCUAAGUCUACUGUGAAAGAUCAGGGCUCAACCCUGAAGAUGCGGUGGAAGCUGGCAGGCUAGAAUACGGUAGGGGCAGGGGGAAUUCCCGGUGUAGCGGUGAAAUGCAUAGAUAUCGGGAAGAACACCAAAGGCGAAAGCACCCUGCUGGGCCGAUAUUGACACUGACAGACGAAAGCUAGGGGAGCGAAUGGGAUUAGAUACCCCAGUAGUCCUAGCCGUAAACGAUGGAUACUAAGUGCUGAACGACCAAAAACGUGCAGUGCUGCAGCUA
rnacentral:rRNA from 1 species